AUUGAGGAAACCAUCAACAAUUAGGCAAGAAGUCCACACGUACACAGCAUAACGGCUAGAAUUUCAAGAUAAGCUUGACCGGUACCCAACAAUAGUAACAUGUAGUAAUAGGCUAGGCAAACCGUUUUAACUUACAACCGACAAAAUCUCUUUCUCGGAGAUCCGAACUCAGCUCUUUCAAAAUUAACAACCUCUCUUCUCUCUCAACAGAUCUUAUUACCGGCUCCCACAAAUCUGUUGUCAUGGUCAGAGCUAUGAACUGGGUUCAACAUAUUCUGGUGAUCGUGUUGAUGUGGUUCAUCUUCUACAAUGGAUCGCGAUAUGUCACUGACUUUUGCAAGAGGCAUCUGUGGUGAAUCCCA